rnacentral:rRNA from 1 species
GGUUAAGCGACUAAGCGUACACGGUGGAUGCCCUGGCAGUCAGAGGCGAUGAAGGACGUGCUAAUCUGCGAUAAGCGCCGGUAAGGUGAUAUGAACCGUUAUAACCGGCGAUUUCCGAAUGGGGAAACCCAGUGUGAUUCGUCACACUAUCAUUAACUGAAUCCAUAGGUUAAUGAGGCGAACCGGGGG